GUCUUGGUAGCUCAGAUGGCAGGGCACUGGGCUAGCGACCCAAUGGUCGAGGGUUCAAGUACCUCCCAAGACA